GGAAAAAUUUCAGUUUAAGGUGCAUAGAUCAAGUGAAAGCAGGUACUGCCUAGUAUGCAUCAACAACAACUGUGAUUGGUAUUUUAAGUCUUCGAGCCUGAAAAAAGCAAACGUUUUCAAGGUCAGAAAUUUCAGCAAAGUGCACUCAUGCCCCCUGAAAGACAGAUCUUACGCACAACGUCAAGCUACUGCAAAACUCAUCGGCAGUCUUCUGAUAGACAAGUAUAAAGACCCAAAAACAAUAUACACUCCUAAUGACAUAAUUGGAGACAUGAACAAGCAGUAUGGUCUUCAGAUGACAUAUAUGCAAGCAUGGAGAUCGAAAGAAUAUGCAGUUCAAGUACUGAGAGGGAACCCAAGCGAAUCAUAUGAAAAGCUGCCAAGCUACUUUUAUAUGCUGGUUCUUACAAAUCCUAUGUCGGUGGUAAAUUUGAAAAAAACAGAGGAAGACUUGUUCAUGUAUGCUUUCGUUGCACUAUAUCCGUCUAUAAAAGGAUGGCAGUAUUGCAAA